rnacentral:tRNA from 1 species
GGCGCAAUGGCCCAGUGGUUAGGGCAGCGGACUCGCGGUCAUAGGAUCGCGGUUUCGAUUCCUGUUUCUGCCG